UGGGGAAUUUUGGACAAUGGGCGAAAGCCUGAUCCAGCAAUGCCGCGUGUGUGAAGAAGGCCUUCGGGUUGUAAAGCACUUUUGUCCGGAAAGAAAUCCUUGGCUCUAAUACAGUCGGGGGAUGACGGUACCGGAAGAAUAAGCACCGGCUAACUACGUGCCAGCAGCCGCGGUAAUACGUAGGGUGCAAGCGUUAAUCGGAAUUACUGGGCGUAAAGCGUGCGCAGGCGGUUUGCUAAGACCGAUGUGAAAUCCCCGGGCUCAACCUGGGAACUGCAUUGGUGACUGGCAGGCUAGAGUAUGGCAGAGGGGGGUAGAAUUCCACGUGUAGCAGUGAAAUGCGUAGAGAUGUGGAGGAAUACCGAUGGCGAAGGANCCCCCUGGGCCAAUACUGACGCUCAUGCACGAAAGCGUGGGGAGCAAACAGGAUUAGAUACCCUGGUAGUCCACGCCCUAAACGAUGUCAACUAGUUGUUGGGGAUUCAUUUCCUUAGUAACGUAGCUAACGCGUGAAGUUGACCGCCU
rnacentral:rRNA from 1 species